UACGUAGGGUGCAAGCGUUGUCCGGAAUUAUUGGGCGUAAAGAGCUCGUAGGCGGUCUGUCGCGUCUGCUGUGAAAACUCAGGGCUUAACCCUGAGCUUGCAGUGGGUACGGGCAGACUAGAGUGCGGUAGGGGAGACUGGAAUUCCUGGUGUAGCGGUGAAAUGCGUAGAUAUCGGGAGGAACAUCAGUGGCGAAGGCGGCGCCCUGGCUCGGCAACUGACGCUCAGACACGACAGCAUGGGGAGCGAACGGG
rnacentral:rRNA from 1 species